rnacentral:rRNA from 1 species
GGGUAAAAUUAAAAAAAUUAUAAAUAAUAAAAAAAAUUUUAAUAUUAAAAAUAAGUGACUGGGGGGUUUAAGUAUUUUUAAUAGAAAAAAUUAAUAUUUUUAUAGUUAAGUAUUACUGUAAAGGAAUAUAUGAAAUAAUUAAAUAAAAAAAAAUUAAUUAAAAAGUAAAUUUAAUUUAUUGUAUCUUGUGUAUCAGAGUUUAUUAAAUAAUAAUAAUUUAAUUAAAUAAAUCUCGAAUUUAAAAGAGUUAAUUAAUUAAAAAAUUUAAUGUUGUAUAAUUAUUUUUAAUAGUUAAUUAGAAAUGAAAUGUUAAUCGUUUUUAAAUAUAUCUAGUUUUUUUAGAAAAAAAUUUAAUUUAAAAUUAAAAUAAUUUUAUAAUUAUUUAAUUAAUUAUAAAAAUUUUAAAUUUAAUAUUUUAGGGGAUAAGCUUUAAAUUAAAAAUUUAUAAUUAAAUUUAUUAAAAUUAAAAUUUUUAAUAUUUAUAUUGUUUAAAAAUUAUAAUUUAUUAUAAAAAAUUUUAAUUAAAAAUAAAAUUUAAAAUAUUAAAAUUUAAAUUUUUAUAAAAAAAUAAUUUAUAAUUUAAUAAAAUUAGAAAUAAUGAUAAAAUUAGUAUAAUAUAUAUAUAUAUAUAUAUAUAUAUAUAUAAUUAAAAUAAAAAUUUAUUAAAAAAUAAAUUAAAGGAAUUCGGCAAAAAUUUAUGUUCACUUGUUUAUCAAAAACAUGUCUUUUUGAUUAUAAUUUAAAGUCUAAUCUGCCCACUGAUAUUAUAAAUUAAAGGGCUGCAGUAUAUUGACUGUACAAAGGUAGCAUAAUCAUUAGUCUUUUAAUUGGAGACUUGUAUGAAAGAUUUGAUGAGAUAUAAACUGUCUCUAUUUUAAAAUUAGAAAUUAAUUUUUUAGUAAAAAAGCUAAAAUAAAGUUAAAAGACGAGAAGACCCUAUAGAGUUUUAUAUUUUAUUUUUUUUUAUAAAAAUUUAUAAUUAAUUAAUAAAAAAGGAUAAAAUAUUUUAUUGGGGUGAUAGAAAAAUUUAAUAAACUUUUUUUAUUUUUUAACAUAAAUAAGUGAAUAAUUGAUCCAUUAAUAAUGAUUAAAAGAAAAAAUUACCUUAGGGAUAACAGCGUAAUAUUUUUUUUUAGUACAAAUAAAAAAAAAAGUUUGCGACCUCGAUGUUGGAUUAAGAUAAAAUUUAAAUGCAGAAGUUUAAAAUUUUGAUCUGUUCGAUCAUUAAAAUCUUACAUGAUCUGAGUUCAAACCGGUGUGAGCCAGGUUGGUUUCUAUCUUUAAUAAAUAAAAAUAUUUUAGUACGAAAGGAUUAAAUAUUUAAAAUAGUUUUAUUUAAUUGAAUAUUAAUAAAUGAAUUA